UGUCAGUGUUGGCUUGAAAAUCUCAGAGGAUAGUGACAUUCUUACCUUCAACGACUGGUCCAUGAUAAUGUCCAUACCAAUAAGAAGUGAAAUCUUCUAUUAAGAACAUGACACGCGUUGACUCUCACUAGGAUGGAAACAAGAUAUCUACAUUCAAGUGUACAGCAAAUGUUGCAUUACCAUCUACAGCUCCUGUUAAAUUUCAAUGGAAAAUACAACUCGAUAAUCGUCAAGAUCCGAUUUAUGAAGACAAAGAGGCCAUCGUUCCAAAUUCUACAGAGUGUUAUGUUGUAGCUUCUUCACAAUAUCGGCAUAACGAUACGUUCGGUGGCCUCGAAAAGAUUUCAUGUACAGUAUUUGGCCAAACAUUAGAUCUCUCGUAUACAAUUAUUGAAAUGACCAGCCUGACACCUGCUGAUGGUUUCACAAUUGGAGGAAGAAAUACAAUGACUAUUACAUGUUCAUAUAAUAUGAUGAAUUUCCGUACGUUCAACAUCAUAAAAAACAACAGCACCGUUGUAGAGAUUCAAAAGUACGUACCUUAUGAUAUACUUGGAAUCAUGCAAACCGGACGUUUCGAUUGUACAUUACAAAGAACUGGAACACCUGGUUUGGUUAAAUGUUCGAAAAGUAACCUCACUUGCUAUGAUGUGGCAUCAUACACAUGUUCGACAAACACAGUCACUUCCUCUCCAAAGUCUCUAAA
rnacentral:misc_RNA from 1 species